rnacentral:tRNA from 1 species
UUUCUGGUUGUCUAAUGGUUAGGACUUGGCACUUUCACUGCCAUGGCCUGGGAUCAAUCCCUGGUCAGAGAA